rnacentral:rRNA from 1 species
GAUGAACGCUGGCGGCGUGCCUAAUACAUGCAAGUCGAGCGAACGGACGCGAAGCUUGCUUCUCUGUUGUUAGCGGCGGACGGGUGAGUAACAUGUGGAUAACCUACCUAUAAGUCUGGGAUAACUUCGGGAAACCGGAGCUUAUACCGGAUAAUAUUUUGAACCGCAUGGUUCAAAAGUGAAAGACGGUCUUGCUGUCACUUAUAGAUGGAUCCGCGCUGCAUUAGCUAGUUGGUAAUGUAACGGCUUACCAAGGCAACGAUGCAUAGCCGACCUGAGAGGGUGAUCGGCCACGCUGGAACUGAGACACGGUCCAGACUCCUACGGGAGGCAGCAGUAGGGAAUCUUCCGCAAUGGGCGAAAGCCUGACGGAGCAACGCCGCGUGAGUGAUGAAGGUCUUCGGAUCGUAAAACUCUGUUAUUAGGGAAGAACAUAUGUGUAAGUAACUGUGCACAUCUUGGCGGUACCUAAUCAGAAAGCCACGGCUAACUACGUG